CCUACGGGAGGCAGCAGUGAGGAAUAUUGGUCAAUGGGCGGGAGCCUGAACCAGCCAAGCCGCGUGAGGGAAGAAGGUACAGCGUAUCGUAAACCUCUGUUGUCAGGGAACAAAGGCGGGGACUAGUCCCCGGAGGAGGGGAGCUGAAGAAAAAGCAGCGGCUACCUCCGGGCCAGCAGCCGCGGUAAGACGGAGGAGGCGAGCGUGAGCCGGAUGUCUUGGGUGGAAAGGGUGCGCAGGCGGCCUGUUAAGUCAGCGGUAAAAGCCCGGGGCGCACCCCCGGCGCGCCGUUGAAACUGGCGGGCUGGAGUUGGAGAGAAGUACCCGGAAUUCGCGUUGUAGCGGU
rnacentral:rRNA from 1 species